GCGCCAGUGGUUUAUUGGUAGAAUUUACCGUUGCCAAGAAUGCGACUACAAAUCGCAGCCUGGAAACUCGGUGAGAAGGGGGUUCGAUUCCCUCCUGGCGCA
rnacentral:tRNA from 1 species